CUCUCAUCUCCCUGCCAAGACCUCAAAUAUAAUUGUUUCCCCCUGAAAAUGCCCAUCUCGGAACCCUGGCUGUGCCCCAAGGGAGGAUGUUCCCACUGGAAUGGCAAAAGUGAGGACAUACUGCUGCCAGCCUUGUCUAUGCUCUAGACAGAGGUCAAAUGUCAACUUUCUGCCAGGUCCAGCCGGGAUGUGAGGGCGGUGGAGGCAACAACCAAGGAACCAUUCCUUCGGAUGGAAGUCCGAUGGCAGAGAGAAGCUGAUGUUUGACUUUUCCAGUAGAGCCCUUGGAAGUUCCAUGAAUCAAUCUGGGAAGGAUGCAGGUUAAGUGGGAAGCAGAAGUCCUCGAUCACGUGAUGGGGGAAAAGUUGAAAAGGCUGGGUUACACCCUUAGGAAACCUCUUUGUUUCUUGGCUCCCUGCAGGGGCAUGCACACUAGCGAAUGCUCAAUCCCUUAAUUAUUCAUUUGAUCACACAAGAAGGAAUGAGAGGAAAAAUACUUUUAUUUUUCACCAAGCGCAGUCUCAACGAAGAGCCCCUCCUUCUUUCAUGACUUCUUUUGUGUGUGACUUACUCAAUCUAAGGUAAAGGAACCCAAGCUGGGCCCACUACCAAAUGCACUUCUUCAAUUUUACAUUCUGGGACAGGAGAGAGGAUCAUUGGUUGAGCCUACCUACUCUGUGGACACAUUGUAAUCCUGAAACUGUUCUGAGCUUCCAUUCAUGGCCAAGACACCUGAUCACUUCAUCAUUGGGUUCUGUAUUUGAAAACUGGACUAGCUCUGAACCUGGGUGACAGAACACAGUGUGGAGAAACCUUGCCUCUAGGAUCUUGCUCAUACACUCUUGGUUCCUUUUGCUCUGGUGGAGCUCCUCAACGCCCACUGGGGAAGUGAUCUGGCUCCCAAGUCCACCAGGCUGUUCAAGUCAUGGAUGGCACCAGUUUUCACAGGCUGAGUGAUUAGAAAACAGACUCUGGGACAGCUGUGUACCUAAGAGUCAUCUGGGCAUUGCUCUUACAAUCCCUGUAGAAGACAAGAGCUCAGCAGUUGAUGGUCAGCCUUAGACCAACAAAACCUGACCGUGGGGCACAUGCGAGAUGGAUGGAAAGGAGCCUACUAUGGGUGUCACUCUUCUCACGACAGCAGGCAAACACCUAAUAGGAGGACCAACUUGAGUCGUGGAGGGUUUACAUGAGGUUCAGAGGAUAAAGUCGAUCACUUCCAUGAGAAACACGUGGAAACAGAACCAGUCCGUUAUGACAACAGGAGUGUGAGAUAGCUUGCUCACAUGUGACUGGAUCUGGAGCAACCAGGACAGAAUCAGAGGGGAUCCGUAACCCUCAAUUCUCAUCCCUACACCCCAUCAACUGAGAAUGAGACCGUGUGUCCAUCCAACCUCCUGAAAGAGUGCUACCAGCUGGGGACCAAGUAAUCAAGCAUGUGAGCUUCUAGGGGACAUUUCACAUCCGAGCCAUAAGCCUAAUUUAAAGAACCCUAAUUGUGGACAUUUAUGACAUCCCACAUCUGGCUG